rnacentral:misc_RNA from 1 species
GAAUUGCGAAAAGUCGUGUGAUUUGCAAAUAGUCGUGAAUCAUUGAAUGUUUGAACGCAACUUGUGUUCGUGGUUUGUGCCACGAGCGGUAUAGUAUGAGUGUUCUUUCUACGACUCUUGCCCCGUGAGGGGCAAGAGGAGGUGCGAGCUCCACUCCGAUAGGAGUGGUCCCGUGAAAAGCAGGUGGUCGUUAGCGUCGCCGCACAACGCAGUGGUUCUCCCCCAGGGAGAUUUCGGCGUUGCGUGGCCCGCUUCGCGGCCACACCCCACCUCAAUACGAACCUCAUAUCUAUACAGACUACCCGCUGGAUUUAA